CGCUCAUUCGACACACUGAUCUGCGCCUGGCAGACGGGAGGAGGUUGUUGACAGAUGGAUGUCAAGGUUCUGUUCGUAACCUCGGGCCGUGGAUGCUGCUGACGCUGCCUUAUACCAGCUGCCACUUGGCAUUAUGGGUUUCAAAUGGAACCUGGUUUCGUCAGCUGAGACUUCGUUACUUUGACCAUCUGCUGCAGGCAAACGUAACUGGUCUGGCCACCUGUGAGAAUCCUGCAACAUCCCUGCAACUGAUGCCACCGUUGGUGACUUGCAGAACAACAGAUGUCACUGUGAAACUGCCUCUUGGAAC